GAUGAACGCUGGCGGCGUGCCUAAUACAUGCAAGUCGAGCGAACAGACGAGGAGCUUGCUCCUCUGACGUUAGCGGCGGACGGGUGAGUAACACGUGGAUAACCUACCUAUAAGACUGGGAUAACUUCGAGAAACCGGAGCUAAUACCGGAUAAUAUAUUGAACCGCAUGGUUCAAUAGAGAAAGACGGUUUUGCUGUCACUUCUAGAUGGAUCCGCGCCGCAUUAGCUAGUUGGUAAGGUAACGGCUUACCAAGGCAACGAUGCGUAGCCGAGCUGAGAGGGUGAUCGGCCACACGGGAACGGAGCCACGGUCCAGACUCCUACGGGAGGCAGCAGUAGGGAAUCUUCCGCAAUGGGCGAAAGCCUGACGGAGCAACGCCGCGUGAGUGAUGAAGGUCUUCGGAUCGUAAAACUCUGUUAUUAGGGAAGAACAAAUGUGUAAGUAACUAUGCACGUCUUGACGGUACCUAAUCAGAAAGCCACGGCUAACUACGUG
rnacentral:rRNA from 1 species